rnacentral:rRNA from 1 species
AUGAACGCUAGCUACAGGCUUAACACAUGCAAGUCGAGGGGCAGCACAGUGUAGCAAUACACGGGUGGCGACCGGCGCACGGGUGCGUAACGCGUAUCCAACCUUCCCGAUACUCUUGGAUAGCCUUCCGAAAGGGAGAUUAAUACAAGAUGGUAUUCAAAUUCCGCAUGUUAUUUGAAUUAAAGAUUUAUCGGUAUCGGAUGGGGAUGCGUGACAUUAGCUAGUAGGUGAGGUAAAGGCUCACCUAGGCGACGAUCUCUAGCCGGUCUGAGAGGAUGAUCAGCCACAUUGGGACUGAGACACGGUCCAGACUCCUACGGGAGGCAGCAGUGAGGAAUAUUGGUCAAUGGGCGCAAGCCUGAACCAGCCAAGUAGCGUGAAGGAUGAAGGUUCUAUGGAUUGUAAACUUCUUUUGUCUGAGGGUAAAAAAGCGGACGUGUCCGUUCUUGCAAGUAUCAGACGAAUAAGCAUCGGCUAACUCCGUG